rnacentral:rRNA from 1 species
UACGGAGGGUGCGAGCGUUGUUCGGAAUUACUGGGCGUAAAGCGCGUGCAGGCGGCCGACUAAGUCAGGUGUGAAAGCCCGGGGCUCACCUCCGGAAGUGCGCUUGAAACUGGUCGGCUAGAGUACGGGAGAGGGAAGCGGAAUUCCUGGUGUAGCGGUGAAAUGCGUAGAUAUCAGGAGGAACACCGGCGGCGAAGGCGGCUUCCUGGACCGAUACUGACGCUGAGGCGCGAAAGCCAGGGGAGCAAACGGG